GAUGAACGCUAGCUACAGGCUUAACACAUGCAAGUCGAGGGGCAGCAUGACCUAGCAAUAGGUUGAUGGUGACCGGCGCACGGGUGAGUAACACGUAUCCAACCUGCCGAUUAUUCCGGGAUAGCCUUUCGAAAGAAAGAUUAAUACUGGAUAGCAUAACGAGAAGGCAUCUUCUUGUUAUUAAAGAAUUUCGAUAAUCGAUGGGGAUGCGUUCCAUUAGUUUGUUGGCGGGGUAACGGCCCACCAAGACAUCGAUGGAUAGGGGUUCUGAGAGGAAGGUCCCCCACAUUGGAACUGAGACACGGUCCAAACUCCUACGGGAGGCAGCAGUGAGGAAUAUUGGUCAAUGGACGAGAGUCUGAACCAGCCAAGUAGCGUGAAGGAUGACUGCCCUAUGGGUUGUAAACUUCUUUUAUAUGGGAAUAAAGUGGGCCACGUGUGGCUUUUUGUAUGUACCAUACGAAUAAGGAUCGGCUAACUCCGUG
rnacentral:rRNA from 1 species